GACGAACGCUGGCGGCGUGCUUAACACAUGCAAGUCGAACGGAAAGGCCCUGCUUUUGUGGGGUGCUCGAGUGGCGAACGGGUGAGUAACACGUGAGUAACCUGCCCUUGACUUUGGGAUAACUUCAGGAAACUGGGGCUAAUACCGGAUAGGAGCUCCUGCUGCAUGGUGGGGGUUGGAAAGUUUCGGCGGUUGGGGAUGGACUCGCGGCUUAUCAGCUUGUUGGUGGGGUAGUGGCUUACCAAGGCUUUGACGGGUAGCCGGCCUGAGAGGGUGACCGGCGACAUUGGGACUGAGAUACGGCCCAGACUCCUACGGGAGGCAGCAGUGGGGAAUAUGGCACAAUGGGCGGAAGCCUGAUGCAGCAACGCCGCGUGCGGGAUGACGGCCUGCGGGUUGUAAACCGCUUUCGCCUGUGACGAAGCGUGAGUGACGGUAAUGGGUAAAGAAGCACCGGCUAACUACGUG
rnacentral:rRNA from 1 species